UACGAAGGGGGCUAGCGUUGUUCGGAAUUACUGGGCGUAAAGCGCGCGUAGGCGGACUGACAAGUCGAGGGUGAAAUUCCAGGGCUCAACCUUGGGGCUGCGUUCGAGACGGGUAUUCUUGAGUUCGGAAGAGGGUCGUGGAAUUCCCAGUGUAGAGGUGAAAUUCGUAGAUAUUGGGAAGAACACCGGUGGCGAAGGCGGCGACCUGGUCCGAGACUGACGCUGAGGCGCGAAGGCCAGGGAGCAAACGGG
rnacentral:rRNA from 1 species